UCAUAUGUACAUACCUACAACGUUGAUGCACUAGAUCCCACUAGAAAUAUGUAGUUAAGCACGCUUGGGCUAUAGUAGAAUCGGGGUGGGUGACCUCCUGGGAAGUCUUGGUGUUUUACAUGCC
rfam:Picea glauca, whole genome shotgun sequence.